rnacentral:rRNA from 1 species
GAGUGGCGGACGGGUGAGUAAUGUCUGGGAAACUGCCCGAUGGAGGGGGAUAACUACUGGAAACGGUAGCUAAUACCGCAUAACGUCGCAAGACCAAAGAGGGGGACCUUCGGGCCUCUUGCCAUCGGAUGUGCCCAGAUGGGAUUAGCUAGUAGGUGGGGUAACGGCUCACCUAGGCGACGAUCCCUAGCUGGUCUGAGAGGAUGACCAGCCACACUGGAACUGAGACACGGUCCAGACUCCUACGGGAGGCAGCAGUGGGGAAUAUUGCACAAUGGGCGCAAGCCUGAUGCAGCCAUGCCGCGUGUAUGAAGAAGGCCUUCGGGUUGUAAAGUACUUUCAGCGAGGAGGAAGGCGUUGUGGUUAAUAACCGCAAC